ensembl:lncRNA
GCAGGGGAAACCAGCAAGCAUGGUGAUCCGUGCCCCUGCUCACCUCUCCUCUAAGACCUGGCACUGCCCAUCCACCUGGACGACUUCCUGCUUUUCAGAUAUCAGAAUGCAGGUGUGCCUGGCAACCUCCGAAAAUCCCUCACGCCAAUGUUACAGCUGCAUCUACAAGACUCCUGCUCAGAAGGCUCUUCUGUGCCAAGGGGAGCCUGCCAUGUCGCAAAGGGCGUCAGCUCCAUUCCUCCUUGGCUGGAACCACUGCCGGAUGGGGUGGAAGAACCUGCGGUCCCUUCCCAGACACACCCCACCUACUCAGCCUUCUCUGGGUCAAGGCCAGAGCAGACAUCAGUCUCCGAGAGCAGCAGGCUGUGGGAAUGCAGAGGUGGAGUGGUACAACUGCAUCCUUUUCUCUCAGCGCAACCCGAGUGGACAUCGACACGUUCAGAUUUAGCAGAGAUUCUUUUUUUCGCCAGUUCUUUCUACCCAUUAAAUGUGUUGCAGUAUCGGGAUUUGCCUGUGUGAGUGGCUUUAAAAGGAGGAAACCAGAGGACAAGAGCAGUUGCAUAUUGACGGUGUCAUGGAUGCCCUCUAACUUUAUCCAGUAGAGCUGUGGCAAGGAUGAAGAGAGUGAGCAUGUGUAAAGGGCUGCUGGUUGUGCACUCCGUGAACCUCUGCGCUUAUGGAAAGAAGAGACAUUUUGCUGGAAGGUUUGGGCUUCCAACUUUCCUGCUGACCGAGCUUGAACUGCUAGAAGGGGAAAAACAAACAGAGAUUCCACCUGCACCACGAGCCGGCCCCAGAGUAAACAUUCCACACACAUCGGCUGGGUUAUCUCCAGAAUGAUCCUGCAUGGCUGGUGCUGUUAUUAUCUCCAUGUUACAGGACUCAAAGAACUGGUCAGGGCUUAGCAGCCCCGGGACAACCUUGCCUGGAUGGAAGAUUUCACCUUUGGCGGAAAGGAGGCAAACUCAGCCAUGCUCUCAAGCAAAUUCCAACUGGGAUGCAGGUUUUCUUUCUCUUUUCCUGUUCCCCCUCUAGUUUAGAAGAGCUACUGCAUUGGCUGAUUCCCCAGGUUAGGAUUCCAAGGAAGCAAAAGUAAGAGUUAUUUCUUCAUUGAGCCUCAAGAGCCCUUUCAAUCCACUUGUUGUUGGCCCCAAGCCAAAGCCAGUUACCUUCUGAUGGAAAGAAAUGAUUUCCGUGUUAAUAUGAUUUGUAUCUGGCAAAUCCAUGCAGCCUGCUGAUUAUCAUCAUAUUCCUGGCCUUCCGUUCUUUUCAAAAUGACAGGCUAUUGAUCCAGCCUUCUCCCAGUUUUGAAGUUUAUGGAAAAGGACGUCUCCACGGUACAGUUCAUUCCCACUGGUCCUCGAGCUGCAGGGGAGACAUGUUGACUUUUGAAUUUCAGUGGCAGCACCGUGGGUUCUCUCCGCAGAGGCAGCGGCAUAGCCGGGCAUCUUCUCUUACCGACACUUUCUCUGUUUGGUGUGCGCUUAACAACCACCUUGAGGCUGGGUAGGAGAUGGAUAUGGAGGGCCGGCUAUAUUCAUUGUUCUCCAUUAUUUUAUGGAAGAGACAGGCCCAUUCAUGGAUUUGGAUUCACCUGGAGCCACCCCCAGGCAUACUGAGAGACAGCCGUACAUUAAAAGGGACUCGGGUGUUGCUGUUGUGGCUCAGCCUGUUGAAAACCCGACUAGUAUCCAUAAGGAUGCAGGUUCGAUCCCUGGCCUCACUCAGUGGGUUAAGGAUUCAGUGUUGUCGUGAGCUGUGGUGUAGGACGCAGAUGAGGCUUGGAUCCAGCAUUGCUGUGGCUGUGGUGUAGGCCAGUAGCUGCAGCUCCAAUUCGACCCCUAGCCCGGGAACUUCCAUAUGCCACAGCUGUGGCCCUAAAAAGAAAAAAAAAAAGUGAUUCAGUUCAUAGGUCACCAUAGUAUAUGUCAGAAGCACCUCCUCUCUGCCCUCAGAGAUGCUAUUUGGAGAUACUCCAAACCCCAGAUGCUUCCUCAAGCCUCAGCCCCUGGUAAAGGGUGUAGACCUUUCUCCUCCUACCUCCCUACUUGCUCCUUCUAUUGAUUGACCUCAUCCCUUUACCUCCCCACCCCCAACCCCUUCCACCUACCCCCUCUUCCCACAUCACAAAAGAUCCUGGACUGGGGCUGAUUAAAAGCUCUCCUUUACUGGAGGAGUGCUGGGCAGGGGCAGGCGGCAUAGAGGAUGACUAUCGUCUUUCCGGCUCCCUCUUUCAGAAACUGAAAAUUCUGUUUCUUUUCUGACUGUAGGUCACUGUCAUGGAACUGUUGACUAGGAUACGUAACUCAGGUUAGGUCAACCAGAUUCUCCCUGCUACCUCUCCCGGCAGCAGUGCCCCAGUGAGGCUCCUGAUUGGUUCCUGCCUUCCCCACCCCCUUGCUACCCAGACCUCUGCCACUGUCCAAGCCCAAUUCUUCAAUUUUCUCUACACCCUGCGAGCUGUCAAAAAUCUUUCCAACAAAUGUGUCUGCGUAAUUUGUCCACGUUGAUUUCUGUUGUUUGCAACCAAAGAACACUAGGUUAAUACCAAAAACUCUCAUAUUAAUCCAUCUUGUCACCAUCUCUGUUUGUGAGAUUACAGCUGCAGACCUGGACCAAUGAACCUGAAUUUAACUGAAGUAAUUUAUGGCAACACAAGGCCAAAAAGCAGCCUCCAUCAAAUUUGCUUUCUGGAGUUCCCCUUGUGGCUCAGAGGGUUAAGAGCCCAACAUAGUGCCCACGAGGAUGUGGGUUCAAACCCUGGCCUCGCUCAGUGUGUUAAGGAUCCCUUGUUGCUGUGGCUGUGGCAGAGGCCAGCAGCUGCAGCUCCAAUGUGACCUCUAGCCCUGGAACUUCCAUAUGCCACAGGUGCGGCUGUAAAAAAACUUUUUUUAAAAUUUGCUUUCUACUACCAUUUCUCAUUCUCUAACAAAAUCAUUCGGACCUACCUAAAAUUCCUGAUGAGGCAAAGAGUAAUGGUUACUCAAACAUUUUGUAAAACCUAUGUUCACUUUCUAGAGGCUAUGUUCAGUAAUAAAAAUAACAUGUACCAAAGAA